rnacentral:rRNA from 1 species
CCUACGGGAGGCAGCAGUGAGGAAUAUUGGACAAUGGGCGCAAGCCUGAUCCAGCCAUGCCGCGUGCAGGAAGACGCAUCUAUGGUGUGUAAACUGCUUUUGUACGGGAAGAAACACUCCCUCGUGAGGGAGCUUGACGGUACCGUAAGAAUAAGGAUCGGCUAACUCCGUGCCAGCAGCCGCGGUAAUACGGAGGAUCCAAGCGUUAUCCGGAAUCAUUGGGUUUAAAGGGUCCGUAGGCGGUUUAAUAAGUCAGUGGUGAAAGCCCAUCGCUCAACGAUGGAACGGCCAUUGAUACUGUUAGACUUGAAUUACUAGGAAGUAACUAGAAUAUGUAGUGUAGCGGUGAAAUGCUUAGAUAUUACAUGGAAUACCAAUUGCGAAGGCAGGUUACUACUAGUGGAUUGACGCUGAUGGACGAAAGCGUGGGGAGCGAACAGGAUUAGAUACCCUGGUAGUCCACGCCGUAAACGAUGGAUACUAGCUGUUGGGCGCAAGUUCAGUGGCUAAGCGAAAGUGAUAAGUAUCCCACCUGGGGAGUACGUUCGCAAGAAUGAAACCUUAAAUGAAAUUGACGGCUGAGAGAGCGACGACGACGACGAGGGAGGAGG